rnacentral:rRNA from 1 species
AUUGAACGCUGGCGGCAGGCUUAACACAUGCAAGUCGAGCGGCAGCGGAAAGUAGCUUGCUACUUUGCCGGCGAGCGGCGGACGGGUGAGUAAUGUCUGGGAAACUGCCUGAUGGAGGGGGAUAACUACUGGAAACGGUAGCUAAUACCGCAUAAUGUCGCAAGACCAAAGAGGGGGACCUUCGGGCCUCUUGCCAUCAGAUGUGCCCAGAUGGGAUUAGCUAGUAGGUGGAGUAACGGCUCACCUAGGCGACGAUCCCUAGCUGGUCUGAGGGGAUGACCAGCCACACUGGAACUGAGACACGGUCCAGACUCCUACGGGAGGCAGCAGUGGGGAAUAUUGCACAAUGGGCGCAAGCCUGAUGCAGCCAUGCCGCGUGUAUGAAGAAGGCCUUCGGGUUGUAAAGUACUUUCAGCGGGGAGGAAGGUGUUGUGGUUAAUAACCACAGCAAUUGACGUUACCCGCAGAAGAAGCACCGGCUAACUCCGUGCCAGCCACCGCAGUAA